GACGAACGCUGGCGGCGUGCCUAAUACAUGCAAGUCGAACGCUGAAGGAGGAGCUUGCUUCUCUGGAUGAGUUGCGAACGGGUGAGUAACGCGUAGGUAACCUGCCUGGUAGCGGGGGAUAACUAUUGGAAACGAUAGCUAAUACCGCAUAAUAGUAGAUGUUGCAUGACAUUUGCUUAAAAGGUGCAAUUGCAUCACUACCAGAUGGACCUGCGUUGUAUUAGCUAGUUGGUGGGGUAACGGCUCACCAAGGCGACGAUACAUAGCCGACCUGAGAGGGUGAUCGGCCACACUGGGACUGAGACACGGCCCAGACUCCUACGGGAGGCAGCAGUAGGGAAUCUUCGGCAAUGGACGGAAGUCUGACCGAGCAACGCCGCGUGAGUGAAGAAGGUUGUCGGAUCGUAAAGCUCUGUUGUAAGAGAAGAACGAGUGUGAGAGUGGAAAGUUCACACUGUGACGGUAGCUGACCAGAAAGGGACGGCUAACUACGUG
rnacentral:rRNA from 1 species